AACGAACGCUGGCGGCGUGGAUAAGACGUGCAAGUCGAACGGGACAGACCGAGUAGCAAUAUUUGGAAUGUUCAGUGGCGAACGGGUGCGUAACACGUGGAUAACAUUCCGGAAAGCGGGGAAUAGCCCAGGGAAACUUGGAUUAAUACCGCAUGUGGCCGCAAGGCUAAAGACGGGGACCGCAAGGCCUGUCACUUUCCGAUUGGUCCGCGGCCUAUCAGCUAGUUGGCGGGGUAAUGGCCCACCAAGGCUACGACGGGUAGCUGGUCAUAGAGGACGACCAGCCACACUGGAACUGAGACACGGUCCAGACACCUACGGGUGGCAGCAGUCGAGAAUCUUUCACAAUGGGGGCAACCCUGAUGGAGCGACGCCGCGUGGAGGAUAAGGUCUUCGGAUUGUAAACUCCUGUCAUGCGAGAACAAGGUACUCAGGCUAAUAACCUGAUUGUUUGAUGGUACCGCAAGAGGAAGAGACGGCUAACUCUGUGCCAGCAGCCGCGGUAAUAC
rnacentral:rRNA from 1 species